rnacentral:tRNA from 1 species
GGGAAUGUGGCUCGGUGGCAGAGCUCUUGAUUUGCAAGCACCAGGCCCUGGGUUCGAUCCCCAGCACCACCA